GGGCCAGUUUGACUCCUUCGUGGUCCAGUACAAGGACAGGGAGGGGCGGCCCCAGGUGCUGCCUGUGGAGGGCGGCCUCAGGGAGGCCCGGGUCUGGGGCCUGGACGCCGCCCGCAGGUACAAGCUGCUGCUCUACGGGCUGCACCAGGGCAGGCGCGUGGGGCCCCUCUCGGCCUUCGCUGUGACAGCCCCCAGGGAGGACAACGGAGCUGAGACCACAGCCCCAAGCCCUCCAGAGUCAGAGCUCCAGCUCGGGGAGCUGACCGUGGCCGAGGCCACCCCGCACACCCUGCACCUGUCCUGGACGGUCACGGAGGGGGAACCGGACUCUUUCGAGGUCCAAUACACAGACCAGGAUGGGCAACUCCAAGUUGUCAGUUUAGGGGGCAACCAGAAUGACAUCACCCUCUCGGGCCUGGAACCCAACCACAGCUACCUGGUGAACGUGUACGCUGUCCGGGGCCCCCAGCGUCUGGGUCCCAUCCAGGUCAAGGCCCUGACAGCCCCAAGGGAAGAGGAGGAGGAACCGUCAGAACCUCCUACCACGACCCCUGAGCCUCCCG